rnacentral:lncRNA from 1 species
CGCCACUCAGUUUACUGGUAAUCUCAUUAAUAGAUUUGUGGCACGGUGUGGGUGAGAAUUUCACCUCACAGCUGGCAGUGGUGUGUGACACAGUUUAUUGCAGACCAUACUUGAGUGUGCAUGGAGCCAGCAGUCAGUGCAGCGAGGCAGUCAAGGACAGCAACAAUCACUUUCCUGCAUACAAGUUGUUAAAACAAGUCAAAGGCAGAACAGCAUCUACAGUGACAAAGAGUGAAGAAAAGACAGGCUGCAAUGAGGCACCACUGCAGACAAUUAUUCUUGGUGCUAAACGUUUUGGGUAAAAUAAACUCAUUGUCUCUGUGGAAAGGAGGGCUGCCCCAUAACUAAGGUGUCAUACACCUCUGAAGAUCUAUAUGUCCCUUGUUAUUCUGUCACAGACUGUCUCUGUGACCUCUGGCAUGUCAUUUAAGGCCAAGAUUCUCACAGAUUUCAUACGCUGCCUUCACCGAACUCCAGUGCUGGCUGGACCAUCAGGCCCGUUUUUUGCUGUUUGUCCAGAUUGUUUAUGAAGACCAGAAUUGCACUUGCUCUUUGACCAAAAGAUUCAUAUUAACAGAUUUUAAAAUCCUUAAAAGGAUGGCAACACUGAAGAGAGCAGGUGCUAUACCUUUUCCCCCAAACUUCUGUGGACACAAAGAACAGAUUCUUUCCUUCUUCACAACAUCUGCUCUGCAUAUGUGAAGUCUAGUCCCUCUCUGUAUGGGUGAGGGAUGGCUAACUCAACUGAGGAUCCAAUUGGAGGUUUUUUAUCCAUAAGAUUGCCACAACAGCCUACUGACACUUCCGCUACCAAUUCUGCAGCAGGUUGGUCUGAGACUGCUGUCCCAUGGCUGUGCAAUGAAAUCCCUUACUACUGUGGUAUCAGUCCAUCCAUUAAAAAGUGCUACAGAAUUUGCACCCCAGAUGUUUUUAGAUUCAUGCAGCACCAACCACUUGAAAAAAAUUUCCUCUGAAGACUGCUAUCAGCACAGAAACAACUGUAGCUUAAUCACGGUUUUAUUUGAAAAAGAAGAACACAUAUUUACUUUGAUAAUAUUUUUGAGUUCCUGAAGGCCAGAUCCUGUUCCCACUGGUAUCUGUGGCAAAACUCCCAUUAACUUCAAUGGCAACAAAAGCAGUCACUUAGUUUGCAUAAUCUGCAGAAAGUAAAUAUUUUAACAAUUAUUAUCUGUGUUAUUUAAGUAGCUAAUAAAAAUGUGCAUUUAAAACUGUUUCA